rnacentral:rRNA from 1 species
UAAGAGGUCCAGCCUGCCCAGUGACAAAGUUUAACGGCCGCGGUACCCUAACCGUGCGAAGGUAGCAUAAUCACUUGUCCUUUAAAUGGGGACUCGUAUCAACGGCACCACGAGGGCUAUACUGUCUCCUUUUUCCAAUCAGUGAAACUGAUCUCCCCGUGAAGAAGCGGGGAUUAAAAUAUAAGACGAGAAGACCCCAUGGAGCUUUAAACUCAUUAUACACCUCUGUGCCCUCUCACCAUCAAACACAAGAAAUUUGUAUAAUAGUUUUAGGUUGGGGGGACCACGGAGUACAAUAUAACCUCCAUAACAAAUGGGCUAACACCCUUAUCCAAGAGACACAACUCUAAGAAUUAUUAAACUAAUGUUUAUGACCCGAUAAUUCGAUCAAUGAACCAAGUUACCCUGGGGAUAACAGCGCAAUCUACUUCAAGAGCCCAUAUCGACAAGUAGGUUUACGACCUCGAUGUUGGAUCAGGGUAUCCUGGUGGUGCAGCCGCUACUAAUGGUUCGUUUGUUCAACGA